GACGAACGCUGGCGGCGUGCCUAAUACAUGCAAGUCGAACGCACUCUCGUUUAGAUUGAAGGAGCUUGCUCCUGAUUGAUAAACAUUUGAGUGAGUGGCGGACGGGUGAGUAACACGUGGGUAACCUGCCCUAAAGUGGGGGAUAACAUUUGGAAACAGAUGCUAAUACCGCACAAAACCUAACACCGCAUGGUGUAGGGUUGAAAGAUGGUUUCGGCUAUCACUUUAGGAUGGACCCGCGGUGCAUUAGUUAGUUGGUGAGGUAAAGGCUCACCAAGACCGUGAUGCAUAGCCGACCUGAGAGGGUAAUCGGCCACACUGGGACUGAGACACGGCCCAGACUCCUACGGGAGGCAGCAGUAGGGAAUCUUCCACAAUGGACGAAAGUCUGAUGGAGCAACGCCGCGUGAGUGAAGAAGGUUUUCGGAUCGUAAAACUCUGUUGUUGGAGAAGAAUGUAUCUGAUAGUAACUGAUCAGGUAGUGACGGUAUCCAACCAGAAAGCC
rnacentral:rRNA from 1 species